rnacentral:rRNA from 1 species
UACAGAGGUCUCAAGCGUUGUUCGGAUUCAUUGGGCGUAAAGGGUGCGUAGGUGGCGCCGUAAGUCGGGUGUGAAAUUUCGGAGCUUAACUCCGAAACUGCAUUCGAUACUGCGGUGCUUGAGGACUGGAGAGGAGACUGGAAUUCAUGGUGUAGCAGUGAAAUGCGUAGAGAGUCAUUGAGGAAGACCAGUGGCGAAGGCGGGUCUCUGGACAGUUCCUGACACUGAGGCACGAAGGCCCAGGGGAGCAAACGGGAUUAGAUACCCC